GGGGAUUUAGCUCAGUGGCAUAAGCGCCUGCCUGGCAAGCAUGAGGUCUUGAAUUGGAUCCCCA
rnacentral:tRNA from 1 species